rnacentral:tRNA from 1 species
GGAGGGGUGCCGGAGUGGUCGAACGGGGCGGUCUCGAAAACCGUUGUGCGCACUGCGUACCGUGGGUUCGAAUCCCACCCCCUCCGCCA